AUUGAACGCUGGCGGCAUGCUUUACACAUGCAAGUCGAACGGUAACAGGCCGCAAGGUGCUGACGAGUGGCGAACGGGUGAGUAAUGCAUCGGAACGUGCCCAGUCGUGGGGGAUAACGCAGCGAAAGCUGUGCUAAUACCGCAUACGAUCUCUGGAUGAAAGCGGGGGACCUUCGGGCCUCGCGCGAUUGGAGCGGCCGAUGUCAGAUUAGCUAGUUGGUGGGGUAAAGGCCCACCAAGGCGACGAUCUGUAGCUGGUCUGAGAGGACGACCAGCCACACUGGGACUGAGACACGGCCCAGACUCCUACGGGAGGCAGCAGUGGGGAAUUUUGGACAAUGGGCGCAAGCCUGAUCCAGCAAUGCCGCGUGCAGGACGAAGGCCUUCGGGUUGGUAAACUGCUUUGUACAGAACGAAAAGGCUCUGGUUAAUACCUGGGGCUCAUGACGGUACUGUAAGAAUAAGCACGGCUAA
rnacentral:rRNA from 1 species